UACGAAGGGGGCUAGCGUUGCUCGGAAUCACUGGGCGUAAAGCGCACGUAGGCGGACUUUUAAGUCAGGGGUGAAAUCCUGGAGCUCAACUCCAGAACUGCCUUUGAUACUGGAAGUCUUGAGUUCGAGAGAGGUGAGUGGAACUGCGAGUGUAGAGGUGAAAAUUCGUAGAUAUUCGCAAGAACACCAGUGGCGAAGGCGGCUCACUGGCUCGAUACUGACGCUGAGGUGCGAAAGCGUGGGGAGCAAACAGG
rnacentral:rRNA from 1 species